CACAAUGCACAGCACUGGAAGCUUGCGAGCUCGAUGAACAGAGCUAGGGCUUGGUGAAGGCCUUGACUGCUCACAGUUACUGCUGUGAAUGACAGAACUGGAAACCAUCAGGCAGUGGUAUUUUACAGCGUUAAGAGCAUUUAUGUCAAGGUAAGAAAAGGAAAGCCAUUCUAAUAGCAGAGGAGCAAGCCUGUAAUAACACUGGCAACGUAGACUGAAUAGACCCCAUUUCUGAAAUACCACCAGGGCAUAAGUGGCAAGAACUGGACAUACUCUACAUGUGUGCCUCUAAAGAAAAAGCAAAGGAUAGUGUCAGAGCUAUCCAUCAACUUAGCGUGACUGAGAGGUGGGGAGAGGUAAUGUGUUAAGAUAUGAUCAAUUUUAAAAGCUCAGCUUUGGCUACUAUAGUUCAGGCUAAAAACCACCCAAUCCACUGGGAAAGAUGGAAAGUUUUGGGAGUGAAUAACAAGGAUUUUAACAAACUCUGAACUAUGACUUUUCAGAAAAGAAGAGGCACAGAAGACAAUCGCCCACAGGCUUCGAUUAACAACAUGUACAAUACCCACAGUAUUUGUGAAAUGAAAGCAAGCACCAAGUUCGCCUACAGAGGUCACUCUUGAGUAACUCCAGGCACACACUGAAGUACCUCGUGGAAACAAUCUUGGUGGCCAAGACAGAAAACUCAACAGGUUACCCACGAAGAACCUGCACUCACAGCAUACUUAACGUACCUCCAGACUGCUGUAAAAGGGUAGGAAUAACCACAGCAGCACAAAUCAUCCUCCCAACAUCUGGGACAAGUGGGACAGAAGAAGAUACCUAAUUACAUAUCCUGAAAAAAGCAAGCAUACCUAAAGUAAGACAUGAAAAGUGAACAAUCUGCCUGUAUAUAAUGUAUAACCCCUGGGAAGGGUGCCACACAUAUGAAAAUAAGAACAGAAUCUGAGAAGCAAUCUCUUCAACAUGCCCCAAAACUAAACAACGAAAAAUCCUGAAU